CAAAUUGUAGCUUAACCAAAGCCUCUCGCUUACACC
rnacentral:tRNA from 1 species